rnacentral:rRNA from 1 species
UGGGGAAUUUUGGACAAUGGGGGAAACCCUGAUCCAGCCAUCCCGCGUGUGCGAUGAAGGCCUUCGGGUUGUAAAGCACUUUUGGCAGGAAAGAAACGUCAUGGGUUAAUACCCCGUGAAACUGACGGUACCUGCAGAAUAAGCACCGGCUAACUACGUGCCAGCAGCCGCGGUAAUACGUAGGGAGCAAGCGUUAAUCGGAAUUACUGGGCGUAAAGCGUGCGCAGGCGGUUCGGAAAGAAAGAUGUGAAAUCCCAGAGCUCAACUUUGGAACUGCAUUUUUAACUACCGGGCUAGAGUGUGUCAGAGGGAGGUGGAAUUCCGCGUGUGGCAGUGAAAUGCGUAGAUAUGCGGAGGAACACCGAUGGCGAAGGCAGCCUCCUGGGAUAACACUGACGCUCAUGCACGAAAGCGUGGGGAGCAAACAGG